rnacentral:rRNA from 1 species
GACGAACGCUGGCGGCGCGCCUAACACAUGCAAGUCGAACGAGCGAGCGAGAGCUUGCUUUCUCAAGCGAGUGGCGAACGGGUGAGUAACGCGUGAGGAACCUGCCUCAAAGAGGGGGACAACAGUUGGAAACGACUGCUAAUACCGCAUAAGCCCACAUGUCGGCCUCGACCAAAGGGAAAAGGAGCAAUCCGCUUUGAGAUGGCCUCGCGUCCGAUUAGCUUGUUGUUGUGGUUACGGCCCACCAAUGCAACGAUAGGUAGCCGGACUGAGAGGUUGAACGGCCACACUGGGGCUGAGACACAGCCCAGACUCCUACGGGAGGCAGCAGUGGGGAAUAUUGCACAAUGGGGGAAACCCUGAUGCAGCGACGCCGGGUGGAGGAAGAAGGUAUUCGGAUUGUAAACUCCUGUUGUUGAGGAAGAUAAUGACGGUACUCAACAAGGAAGUGACGGCUAACUACGUG